UACAGAGGGUGCGAGCGUUAAUCGGAAUUACUGGGCGUAAAGCGUGCGUAGACGGUCAUGUAAGUCGGAUGUGAAAGCCCCGGGCUCAACCUGGGAAUUGCAUUCGAGACUGCAUGGCUUGGGUGCGGAAGAGGGAAGCGGAAUUUCCGGUGUAGCGGUGAAAUUCGUAGAUAUUCGCAAGAACACCAGUGGCGAAGGCGGCUCACUGGCCCGGUACUGACGCUGAGGUGCGAAAGCGUGGGGAGCAAACAGG
rnacentral:rRNA from 1 species